rnacentral:tRNA from 1 species
GCAGUGGGGGUGCAGUGGUAGAAUUCCUGCCUUCCAUGCCGGAGACCCGGGUUCGAUUUCAGGCCAAUGCA